GCCGCUCUUACAAGUGCACGAAGCGAACGUCGUCUGGGAAGCGAUGCUGGGGCCACCGGUGGAAUCAGCGGCAGGCUGCAAGCCGGCGUUGAACGACUCGGUCCCGGUGGAGCGCCGGGUUUGACCGCAAGCAUUGGAGGUAGUCUAGGUGCAAGGCUCGGUGGUCAGGCCGGUAUUGGCGCAGGCAGCUAUGGCUACGGAGGAGCUGCAGGCUAUCCUGGAUGGUAAGGAUCGCCCUGGGGUGGCGCUUACGGUGGGUAUGCCUCUUACGGAGUGCCCUAUGGCAGUGGACACUACGGCUUCAACCCGUAUGGUGACUACGGCUUGUACGGUGCGAACAGCCCAUACGGCGGAUACGGAGGAUAUGGUGGAUACAGUGGAUAUGGCGGAUACAAUACACCUGGAGGCUAUGCCACCUAUGGCUAUCCUGGAGUAAGUCCCACCUCUGGCAACUGGGGUACCGGCUCAUUUGGUGGAGCAACAGGAGCCGCUGUACCAAGGGCUUCUGGUGCCUCUGCUGCCGGACCAUCUGGUGCAUCUAGCAGCGCAUCUAGUGAUGCACCCGCUUCUUGAAUUUAAGGCAAGGCCAACAAGCUGACAAAAGGAUUUUCAAAACUUUAUCCUAAUCUCUCGUGAACUUUGUGUGAGAAGAAUGCAGGUGAACAACGUCGGAGGUUUACUUGAAUUUGUUGCUAUACUAACAUUCGAUUUAUAAUAUUUGGUGAAGGCUAAACGCGAUGCAUGCCAUUCAGGAACGAAAUAAAUUAAAUACAACGCAUGGUUUUA
rnacentral:lncRNA from 1 species